AUUGAACGCUGGCGGCAGGCUUAACACAUGCAAGUCGAACGAGUGGCGGACGGGUGAGUAAUGCUUGGGAAUCUAGCUUAUGGAGGGGGAUAACUACGGGAAACUGUAGCUAAUACCGCGUACCCUCGGAUGUGCCCAAGUGGGAUUAGGUUGGUGGUGGGGUAACGGCUCACCAAGCCGACGAUCCCUAGCUGGUCUGAGAGGAUGAUCAGCCACACUGGGACUGAGACACGGCCCAGACUCCGACGGGAGGCAGCAGUGGGGAAUAUUGGGCAAUGGGGGCAACCUGAUGCAGCCAUGCCGCGUGAAUGAAGAAGGCCUUCGGGUUGUAAAGUUCUUUCGGUAGCGAGGCGUUAACUACAGAAGAAGCACCGGCUAACUCCGUGCCAGCAGCCGCGGUAAUUC
rnacentral:rRNA from 1 species